GACUCGCUAGUUCAGUGGUAGAAUGUGAGAUUCCAGUUCUCUGCGGAGUUCGAAAUUCCUCAAGGUCGUAGGUUCAAAUCCUGCGCGAGUCA
rnacentral:tRNA from 1 species